rnacentral:rRNA from 1 species
AACGAACGCUGGCGGCAUGCCUAACACAUGCCAGUCGAACGAAACCGUCGUGUCUAGGGGCGCACGGGGGGGUAACGCGGGGGAAGCUGCCCGUAGGUUCGGAAUAACUCCCCGAGGGGGGUGCUAAUACCGGAUGAGGUCUUCGGGCCAAGGAGUUAUCGCCGUUGGGUGGGGGCGCGUUGGAUUAGUUGGUUGGUAGGGUAAAAGCAUACCAAGGCGACGAUCCAUAGCUGGUCUGAGAGGAUGCUACGCCACAAUGGGACUGAGACACGGACUAGACUCCUACGGGACGCAGCAGUGGGGAAUAUUGGACAAUGGGCGAAAGCCUGAUACAGCAAUGCCGCGUGAGUGAUGAAGGCCUUAGGGUUGUAAAGCUCUUUUACCCGGGAUGAUAAUGACAGUAACGGGAGAAUAAGCACCGGCUAACUACGUG